AACGAACGCUGGCGGCAUGCCUAACACAUGCAAGUCGAACGAGACCUUCGGGUCUAGUGGCGCACGGGUGCGUAACGCGUGGGAACCUGCCCUUAGGUUCGGAAUAACUCCCCGAAAGGGGUGCUAAUACCGGAUAAUGUCUUCGGACCAAAGAUUUAUCGCCUUUGGAUGGGCCCGCGUUGGAUUAGCUAGUUGGUAGGGUAAAAGCCUACCAAGGCGACGAUCCAUAGCUGGUCUGAGAGGAUGAUCAGCCACACUGGGACUGAGACACGGCCCAGACUACUACGGGAGGAAGCAGUGGGGAAUAUUGGAAAAUGGGCGAAAGACUGAUCCAGCAAUGCCGGGUGAGUGAUGAAGGCCUUAGGGUUGUAAAGCUCUUUUACCCGGGAUGAUAAUGACAGUACCGGGAGAAUAAGCUCCGGCUAACUCCGUG
rnacentral:rRNA from 1 species